ensembl:lncRNA
AUGGGCAAGUCACAGAAGAGCCAGCCCAGGUGCAGCAGGCCGCCAUUUGCUGGGCCUGUUCCUCAUCCCUCCCCUCCCAGCUGGCUCAGGUGGUGGCAUGGCCCAGCUGUGAGGAGCAGCUGCGUGGCCCUCUGGGGCCGAGUUCCAGCACCCUGUGCCAGCAGGCUGUGGGGAGGGCUGUGGGCUUUCAGCUCCUCUGGGAAGCCGGGGAGAAGCCUUUGGUUGGGGCAGCACUUUCCUGGCCAAGGGUGAAAAUAUGAGCCUCUUGCAUGUGAUUUUGUACAAACGACUAGGAUGGACCGCAUGUAGUUUUAAAAGAUCCUGAUAAACCCAUCUUUCCAGAAUUGAAAGCUACAUCCAAUUCACCUGAAGAGCUAUUGAUUUCUGCUCGGGAUGAGCUUAUGCUGGAGGAUCAUUCUUAGAAUGCUGAGCAAAAGCACAGAUAUGUCUUCUACAAACUUUUCUGAUGAGCUGAAACACGAGGUGGUGUUCGCAUCCAGAGAAAAAUAUCAGGUGCUCACUAUGAGGAAGCUUUUGUCUUGAGUGGUUGGUUGUCUACCCAGGCUGACCUGGCAGGAGAUUGCAGCAGAUGCCACCAUCCCUGUAGGGUGGUUCCUUGCUCCCACCUUGUCCACGCUGUGUAAAGGGCUGCUGCCUUUGGUGUCACACUCUCUGGCUAUUCCUUUGUAUUAAAAUCACUUGAGUUACGUUGUUGCGUUGUCUACUCCGCUAUCUGCCAUUAAUUUAUCUUUGGGCUUGAGCCAACAUCUGUCUUCUUUGCCUCAAGGCUUGACUCUCAUUAAUUCUGAGGCCUUCUUACACCUUCUUGGCAGUGAAAAAUAGCCUUGCAGCAGAAUUUUCUUUGCGCCCAUUUGGUGGCCCCUUUUCACUUCUGACACACUUCUCCUCCUUUUCAAUGUGUGCCCUGAAGAACUUCUGAGAGUUUUGCUCUUGGACCUGUGUUCUCGUUACUGUGUUGUCUGCCUGCAUGCAUGGAAAAUGGAGUUUAUCUGCCAGAAGUGAAUGAGUUUUUAUCAUAAUGGUCCAAGCAAAUGUCAUGAUUCAGAGCAUAAGAGGAUCAGUGGCAUGGAUGUGUUGCACAAUAAGCCUGUGUAAACAAAAGUCAGGACGUGAAGAGGAGGGAGUAAUGGCUUCCUCUCCUUUCAAGUCAAAUGUUAUCCUAGAAUCAAACUGGGGUCAAAUUGUUGAAAUCAGAGGAAAUUCACUGUAUUUUAUGAGGCUGUCAUGUAACUACUAAUUUCUCCUCUCUUCUGUCUCUUUUCCUCCUCCACCAUAGGGGAAUUGAGAGUUUUUCCUUGGACAUCCCAAACAGAGUUGAUAUAUAACUGAUAUGUCCUUGUGUCUGAGAAAACAAUUUUCUCCUUCAUUUCAGAAGAUCAGUUGAGUGCCCCACGGUGCAUCUUUGAGAUACGAGAACGGUAACCCUGUUGAGAAUUCAACCACAGACACACAGAAAAGGAAGGAGAGUUCUUCUUGUGGAAUGACACAAGGAUGAUGGCUAGUAGGCUCCACUGAGCCAUUGUUCAUGGGGUCUUAGACUUUAGUUAGUAAUUAUAAGUAAAGAUCUGUUAACCGCCCUACUGAGGACACUUAGUUGUCUGUGCUCUUCAGUCCAACUGCAAUAAAUGCAGAUCAACUGUUCA